UCCCCCGACGUGUCCCUGCAUCAUGUGCUCCGCGUCUUCUGAGGAUUCAUGGGUGAUGAAUUCCUCCCCAACCCCCGGACAUUCCUGGACCUGGAGCUGCCCAGGGAGAGGAGAAAGUGAAGACAAGAGACUGGGUGGGAUGAUUGAUAAUGGAGGAGGGCAUCGCAGGAUGUAGGCUUUCUAAAACCAGAGGUGACGAUGUGACCAUCAACAACUGUGAUGGAGACAUCUAAAAAAUCAAGUUCCAUGUAUGCAGAAGACUACUUCAGAUUCGGUGGACUACAUCGAUGACCAGCAUUUUUUUGUUUGAUAUUAAUAAAAUGGUUAACGAGGGCUUGUGGGGGAGUAUUAUUUGGUAUAAAAGUUUUUUAAGCAUGUUUUUUCUUAUUUUAUUUACAGGCUUAGUAGAAGUGGAAGCUGUCUAAUAGACGGAGUUCAUUAUUAAGCUUUGGCCUAGCGUAAGCCCCAAAAACAGCUAGUGCUCACCCCUAAUUAUUACCCCAGUACCCACUGCCACAGGGGUGCCAGUAAGAGCUGGUACUAACAUACCUGGAGCAUCAAAAAUUGUGCUCCUGGGUGUAGGUGGUAACAGGCUGUCAAUCAAGAAGUGUGUCCAUGACAUAGGUGAUGAUGCAUGGACACAACAGGACUAGUAUGUGUCUAAGCAGGCAGGGGGGGGGGCAGUUGUUUGACUGGCUUUUUCAGUAAGAAAUGCUGAAAAUUUUCUAAUGACAGCAAUUACAAAACCUAUUGGUUUUCCAUGCUUUACAACAUAUGAAAAGUUUUUGUAUCUGACAGUGUCCAUUUAAGGGGUUAAGGCCAAAAUGGGCUUGGUCCUUAAGGGGUUAAACACCAAUGGCCGCAGAGCUGGGAAGAACAAUGUGUACUGCAGCAUCAUUCCAUUUUGCACCUAAAGACUAUAAUAAUGUACACUAUAGUCAAAAUCAUCCAAACAAGUCAAUGACAAACCGACAUCAUCCAUUUAUGGUUUGCUAGGUCACCUGCAGAGCAAGUAACAGCCUGAAACAAAUAAAAUUGUUCAUUUUAAGACUGGACAGAGAAAACAGUGGGAAAAACCAUUUAUCCAAAGCAAUGAGUCACACAGAGCAGGCUGCCAACUACAUAAUAAUCAAGAAUUGCCACUGACUUGCCAUUUCAGUAAAGUAUAAAUAGAGGAAUGACUUGUCUGCCAUCCAUUCAUUCCGUGUCCUCCGCACAACUGCUCUGUACCCGGUAAUUGGCUGCAAUAUACUGCGGAAUCUUUACUGAUCAGAGUCAAACAAGGACUGAAAAUCAUCCUGCGUUGCUCUUAACAUAUAGUCAAAGAAAGGAUGCAACUCCCCCUGUGGCUUUUAACACCCUCUUUUCUGCAUAGUCCUUAAGAGACAGAACUCUCUUUAAAGUACGGUAGUUAUGGGAUACAAAAAAAAAAAGUUAUAUUUAUUU